rnacentral:rRNA from 1 species
GAUGAACGCCGGCGGCGUGCCUAAUACAUGCAAGUCGAGCGAACGGACGAGAAGCUUGCUUCUCUGAUGUUAGCGGCGGACGGGUGAGUAACACGUGGAUAACCUACCUAUAAGACUGGGAUAACUUCGGGAAACCGGAGCUAAUACCGGAUAAUAUUUUGAACCGCAUGGUUCAAAAGUGAAAGACGGUCUUGCUGUCACUUAUAGAUGGAUCCGCGCUGCAUUAGCUAGUUGGUAAGGUAACGGCUUACCAAGGCAACGAUGCAUAGCCGACCUGAGAGGGUGAUCGGCCACACUGGAGCUGAGACACGGUCCAGACUCCUACGGGAGGCAGCAGUAGGGAAUCUUCCGCAAUGGGCGAAAGCCUGACGGAGCAACGCCGCGUGAGUGAUGAAGGUCUUCGGAUCGUAAAACUCUGUUAUUAGGGAAGAACAUAUGUGUAAGUAACUGUGCACAUCUUGACGGUACCUAAUCAGAAAGCCACGGCUAACUACGUG